CUUUUAUAACAGCCUCAGUCUGAGGGGGGAGGGGGGGUUAAAAAACAGAUCAGCUGUUUGUGUUGAUCUCAGAAAACUGCGAAUUAUCAGAGAAGCACGAACUGAUUUCCGCCGCAGAUCGAAACCAGAGAUAACCAUGGUGUGACUGAUCAUUAAAGCUAGCAUCUACGUGGUGAGGAAGAUCCGGGCCUCCAUUACUGAUGGAGAGCAACAUGAGAAACCCAUCAUUACACCAUGUAGUGCUAUCGCUGAAAAGAGUGCGGGACAUAAGUCGCUAGAAAACAAACCAGCGGCCGCACUGAUGUCGGAGCCUGAGGAAGACAUCAGUGGAGCAGCAGCGACGGGCAUGUCCUCGGAGAAGGCUGUGCAGUCAUGUGGCUCCUGAUAUUAAAGAUCACGCUGGACACUGGGACUGGGAUCAACUCACUAAUAUAUAAUUUGUCAUCUUUGAACAUAUGCAAUGCAAGACAAUAGUUUGCUGUUAGGGUGGAUCUCUUGUAUGUACAUACGCUCACAUACAAUGUUCAUCAUUCAGUUUUGUCAAUACCAACCAUGCUCCUCAUCCAGUGAUGAUUCCAGUCAAGUGUCUGUGCUGAACUCAGUGUUGAGAUCCUCAUGACGCACAUCUAGGCCUUUUUCACAGCACACAUUUGGGCUCAUCACAGCAGGAAAACACACAAAUAGCCUUAUUGAAGACUGUUCUCUUGUAUGUUUUGCUGGUGUAAUGUAAUGCAGUCUAUUUUGUUGUCUGUGAGAAAGGCCUAUGUUCAUUUACUGCAGUGUUUGAAGGCUGACUCACAAACCUCUCUCCAGGGGCCGAGCAGGCCUGAUGUUUAAGCUGUUGUAUCAAUAAAUGGAUAAAACGA